CUCCCGUCUUGUCUCCCUCGCUCGUCCCAAUCAAUUCGUUAUCUCCAGCAGCCACCUCCGCCGUGGCCCUCCAUCCGGCGAGGGAAAGCUCUCCUUGCCACUCCCACGCGUCCGGUCGCCGGCAAUAACUCCGCCGGGUUUGGGCAGAUGCAGUACCACGGAUAGAACGAGAUUGUCUGAAUGUCUUUGUAGACGAAGAAUACUGACGAAGGGGGUCGAACAGAGAAUUAGAGAUACGUUUUUGAUGUCGCAGCUUCGUGCAAAGGAGAUGGCAGACACACGCUCAAGCCGUGAGGUGUCACGGAAAAACCUUGAAAAGCAGAGAUAGCCAGCGCCGGUUAUGGGCGUGCGUGGAGAGAUCUUGCAGAAGCGAAGGGGGAAGGUGGAUACAGGCUCGAUUCUGCAGAAGCAUAAUGCAAAGGAGAGGACGUGCUCCCCUGAUCAGCUCCGCGGACGUACACAGGGUAUCAAUCGGCCUGUCAAGGCUGAAUCACCUCUGGCCGGAGAGAUGUCUCAGAAGCGAACAGAGAAGCUGGAUACAGUCUCGACUCCACAGAGGCAUAGUGCAAAGGAGACAGCGUGCCCCCCUGAUCGGCUCCACGGACGUACACAGGGUAUAAAUCGGCCUGUCAAGACUGAAACAGGUUUGUCUCAGAAGCGAAGGGAGAAGGUGGAUACAGGCUCAAUUCCACAUCGGCCUGUCAAGACUGAAACAGGUUUGUCUCAGAAGCGAAGGGAGAAGGUGGAUACAGGCUCAAUUCCACAGAAGCAUAAUGCAAUGGAGAAGAUGUGCCCUCCUGAUCAGCUCCGCCGACAGAUGCAGGGUAUCAAGCGGCCUGUCAAGACUGAAGCAUGUAUGUCUCAGAAGCAAAGGGAGAAGGUGGAUACAGGCUUGAUUCCACAGAAGCAUAAUGCAAUGGAGAAGACGUGCCCCCCUGAUCAGCUCCGCCGACGUACGCAGGGUAUCCAGCGGCCAGUCAAGACCGAAGCACGACUUGCUGGAGAGAAGCACACGAAAAGUAAUGCAUCUUUUCCAACGAAAAGAACCACUGCACAGCUCAGAAAAAGAACGAGUUCCUACACCAGUUGUCCCAUCGAUGCCCAUGACCAGGGCAACACCGCUGCUAUCCAGAACAGAGAGAAGAAGACGUGGGCGAAAUAAUUCAGAAGCUGAACAAAUUGGGAUUGGGAGAGGAUAUCAGCUUUGAGGAGUACUAUGGAUGCUUGGAGCAGCUGCCUCUCGACCCCGUGUUGAUACUUCCAAUAAACUCGACCUUAUGGCUCGCUUUCGCAUGGACCUUCGUCAUGCGGUGUAUCGCAUCAUAUCCUACAAGUUGUUAAACAAGGAGUCCAAGAAUGAGUUGUGCCGUCUUGAACUGAUGGAGUGCCCAAUGGAUCUUCUUGACAAGGACGAAUUUCCUAAAGAUUUCCUCGUGGAGAUGCAAUAUUUUAGCUUCUUCGAGAGAACAGGUGCAUUAGACUGGUUCUUCGACCCUGAUCUGCCUGCUGGCCUGAAUGACUACCAGCGUCUAGUUCCUCAUGAUCAUGGUCAUGGUGAGUAUGCUUUCUGGGGUGCGUACAGAAGUUACUUUCAUAGCUACGAGAUGCAACUUGAAUACAUCAAGUACUUUGAAACAUUAUUAAGGGAACUUGAGUGGUUGAAAGAUUGUCUACCGAGGAAGUUUUCAUCUCGUACUGUAAACAAGAUUCGGACAAGAGGAAUUUAUCAAGCAACUAAGAUCGCCGCUCGCUUUUGCAAUAUCACACCACAUUUAGCUCGUAUUGGCUUCGAUGAUUGUUUUACUUACAUGAGCUUCGAGGCUACUUGGUGUAACGGGUCCGAUGAUCUCUAUUUUGAGAUUUGGAAGCGGGUCACUCAACAAAAGGAGAGUUUCAGAAAUACUUUGAAGGAAGUCUAUGAGCUGAACAAGUGCCCUUCACUGCAAGAGAGCAUAAAAUAUGCCAUAGAGGAUGACUGUUCCGUGAUGAAAACGGCAGUUGGCUCUUCUUCACAGACAAUUUUCAAGUCUAGAAUUCGUAACAUGCAUGCUUAUCUCUUUUGCUUCUUUCCUCUAUCUUUUCAGUUUCUUCGUUGCACGGCAGGGGCAGGCAUUACCAAGGAAGUAAAUACUAUGAUAUGCAUGUGGGAUUGAUCCAGUGAAUUAUAUGUUCUUAUAUUUGAUUUGAUUUCACCUCUGACUGCCUUAGGUACCAGUUGAUGAAGCUCAGGCGUUGAUUGCAGAGGCAGUUAAAAAGCUGAGGAUAAAACCCAUAUUCUAUGAUGGCUAUAUCAGAAAGAAGAUAGACAUUGCCAAACCUAUAGGAGUGAUUACUGAGGUAUACUAUCCUAAUAUUUGUUUGUAAUUGCGCCUAAUUUGAUAUCUUCUCUGUUUAUGGCAACCAAGUUAUAUGUGUGCUCUCAUUGCGCUUAAAUAUGUACAUACUUGGUAAUGUAUUUUUUCCCUCAAGAAUGCACAGGAGAGUAUCAGAGAUACUUUGAAGGAAGAUUAUAACCUGAACAAGUGUUAGUCAUUGCAAGAUAGCAUAAAAUAUUCCAUAGAGGAUGAUUGUUCCAUGAUGGAAAAGGCGGUAGGCUCUUCUUUGGGUUAAUUAUCCUUUUGCCCUCAGUGGUGUCCAUGUGCUUAGUUUUGCCCUCAGAUGCGAAUUGUGCUCAGUUUUGCCCCUAGUCCAUGCACAACAACUAUGACGAGGCCAAACGGCCAUA